rnacentral:lncRNA from 12 species
AAAAUUCGAAGUCCCAUGAUGCAGCAACAGUGACUCACCUUUCCAUCUGAGGGCCGUUCCUCCCAGUUCAAGUAUGAUGUUUGCUUAAAAGAUGAAACCAUCCCCAUUCUAAGUAAAUAUGACAUUUGGACAACUCUUCAAGGAUGAACAUUUUAUUGGAAUAUAGGCAUUUGGCAGAGUAAAUAUGUGGUUACAAAGUGCUUUAAGUUUAUUUGCUUUAUAUAGUGACCAGAAAAACCCAUCCACAGUGUAGAUUUUUUCUUGAAGUUGCAGACUUCAGAAGGUAAGUCCCCAAACCCGCUUAUUUAUUAGUAGAAUAUGAAGACAUAUGUACCCAACUUUUUUUUACCUAGUGAACCUGUAUUGUUUUUAAUACAGGUUUUUAUUUUUAUUGUUUUUAAUUUAAAUUGCUAUGCAGCAUGUAGAGUUUAGCACUUUUUAAAAGAAUGAAAAUCACUCAUCUGGGAGAACUAAAUCCCAAUUUCUGUCCUCGAAGAGAGGGGUCCCAGGAGAGACGGCCAGUAAACAUAAUUUCAGUACUCUGCGCUAAAUGCAAGGAUAUGAGUGAGCAUUGCGUACUGCGGGGACCUGAGAGGAGUAGCCUCCACCCUCUCUCUCUCUAUAAGGAGACUCUGCAUAGAUGUGAAGAUCUAAACACUCUAGGAGAAGUGAAAACAAUUCAAUAUGAGACUAUGAUGAUACUGAUUAUUCUUCAUUCUUUAUCUCCUGGAAAUUCUUCAUGGGGAGGUGGACAGAGAAAUAUUUUAAUUCCUGGUAAAAGAGUUAAACCAUGGGACAAAGUCUCUAAACAACUGACAUAAACUUGCUGCUGCUGAUCACAGUAAGCUUUUAGGACAGUAUGUUGGGAUCUAACAUUAAUAUUUGUGGAAGGAAAUGUCAAGAGGUAGUAUCUGAGACUGGAGCUUUUAGGAAAUGAAGGAUAAUAGAACCUAUGUUUUUAAUCUCCUGCAAGUAAGUCCUUUAACAUAAACAUUUAUUGGUCAGGAUCCAUUGAGAAGUAUCUGUGUCUCUUUCCAUUGAAGUGUAAGUUCCAGGAGGGAGGAACAGAGUCGUUUUCACUACAGUAUCUCUAGCACCUGGGACAUAAUAGGGACUCAGUUAACUUGCUGAAUGACCAGACAAAUGAUUUCCACUUUGGGUGAUGUCUUUGGAACUUGAUGCUGUACAUCUUGGCUUUUCUCUUUCUUGUCCUUCCUUCAUUCCUUCCUUGCUUCCUUCCUUUCCCAUUUAUUCACUUUCUUCCUCUUCUGGGAAUGAACCAGGACUGCUUCGAUGGAUAGAAAGUUAUGAUGGUUUGAAAAUUGACAUAUGUUUUUCUUUUAAUUCCCAUAGGUCUUUUAAUUUGUGCCAAAGCACCUUAUCUCCUCCUCCUCUUCUUCUUCUUCUUCUUCUUCUUCUUCUUCUUCUUCUUCUUCUUUCUUCUUCUUUCGUUGUUGUUGCUGUUGUCACUAUGCCUAGCACAGCACACGGCAUACAGUAGCUACUCAAAUAAUGCUUGCUUAAUUGGUAGUCUUUUAUGCUUAAGAAUUAGCUAAGGGCCCCCUGCACAGUCUAAGGCUAAUUUGGAAUGCUUUCAGGCUUAAACAUGCCAAGGAAAUUUUCUUGCCUCCUCUGAAUUUCCCCAAAAGGUGAUUAAUUAAUAAGAAUCAACACAAUUAAUUAACAAGAAAUUGAUAGUAGAAUCAGUAACAAGCUCAGACAGUCCCACAGACCACAACUUUCCUCUGAUUGUGUUCAGCGUCCCCCUGGGUGCUCUCAGGCGUAAUCUCUCAGGGUCUAUGGGGCUGCCCACAGCAGGGUGAUCGGUGUUCACCACCCACCCUUUCCGGUGGCCUGACUGUGGAUGAAUGCUGAGUCUUUCAGAGACAGUGAAGUUGCUUGAGUGGAUGGUGAAGCUUGAUUUAAAAUAAACAUUUGCAUUCUUACCA